rnacentral:rRNA from 1 species
CUAAGAAUAUUCCGCAAUGGACGAAAGUCUGACGGAGCGACGCCGCGUGGAUGAAGAAGGCCGAAAGGUUGUAAAGUUCUUUUGCUAGGGGAGAAUAAGUGAGGGAGGGAAUGCCCUCAUGAUGACAAGGACUAGCGAAUAAGCCCCGGCCAACUACGUGCCAGCAGCCGCGGUAACACGUAGGGGGCGAGCGUUGUUCGGAAUUACUGGGCGUAAAGGGCAUGUAGGCGGCUUGGUAAGCCUGGCGUGAAAGACUGCAGCUUAACUGUAGGGAUGCGUUGGGAACUGCUUAGCUUGAGUUACGGAGAGGGAGCUGGAAUUCCUGGUGUAGGGGUGAAAUCUGUAGAUAUCAGGAAGAACACCGAUGGCGAAGGCAAGCUUCUGGUCGAUAACUGACGCUGAGGUGCGAAAGUGUGGGGAUCAAACA